rnacentral:lncRNA from 10 species
GAUUAUGUAUUGCAGGCAUAUGCAAAAAUAAGUUUGCAUAUCCUGAGCAUAUCCGACCUCACCUUUGUUGUGAAUAAAUCACAGACUGUCCUGGAUUCCAGAAGAGUUCCAACCAGUGAAGCUGGCAUUCCAGGAGAAUCCUCUGAUUCUUUUGGCAAAACUGAGUCAAGAACAUAUUGCCAGUUCUUCCUGGGCUCAACUAAAUGUGGAUUCCAUUCACAAUCACUUUUGCUUUGCAUGUUGUGUACGCUUAUGACCAUCAUGUUUAUCAGCAGUUCCAGAGGGCAGCUGCGAGGUUGCUUCCAAAUAUUGCAAUAUGAUUCCAUAAUGUUUUGUAGAAUUUGGAAUCCAUUAUUCUCAUAUUCAAGGACAGGUUUCAGAUUUCAGCAUUGAAAGAUGUCUUCCCAGUUCUUUCAUUGCUUUCAGGGUGCUCAGCUCACAUGGCCUGAGACAGGAAUUGUGCAGCCUCCACAGCCACCUAAACUAUAGACUUUCUAGAGGACUCUACAAAAGCCUGUUUCAUGUGCAGCAUGGUGGAAGAAUACAGUUAACUUUUUCAAUACUAGAACCAUAAAAAUCACUGAAACUAUAUUACCUUUUUGUUUAUCCUAAAAGAGACAAAUAUUCACCCUAUCUAGAAACACAGAACAUCUUCAAAUGCACCUCUGCGUUGUUGAAAAAGGCAUGUUUUGGGGAACUUUAAAGGUGUUGAAUAAUGAAGAAUUCUUUUAUUUAUUCCUUUGAUAAUUCUACUAAAAGUGCAUUUUUUAACAAGAAGACAGUUUCUUUGUUCUUUGUUCAUUAACAUUGCUGUAUUCAACAUAACUUUGAAUCAAAUUAUCCCUUUCACAAAACUGCUCACGUUGUUUCCUGUUCCUUGGCACGAUGAAGCCAUGCAUAUGUAUGACGCGUCACCAAGUGUCAUUUUAGGAAAGACCCUGUUAGUGUGCCUAUGGAGAGAAGCAGAGUUAGAGUAUUGUAGCCAUGGAAGCCACUUUACUUUGCAGCCUUUAGCUUCCUGGAGGGAAUCUGGUGAUGGGAAAGGAAUUCCAUUUUGCAUACUACAUUGUUAGCGUGCAAAUGCUCCACUUAUUUAUAUCAUUCAAUUCAAUCUGGACAUCUUACUUUAAAAAUGUAUAUCUCAGUCCCUCUUUGAAGAAAAAUAUGAUGAAAAUAUAUGAAUUAGAGCUCACAAUUUUACAUUAUUUGUAGAUCAUAAUAACGAUCUUGGCAUUUGUAUUUACCUUACAUAGAGAUGGGAAAACAUUUUGGAAGGUUUUUUGGAGCAAUAGGAGAGGGGAAUGAAAUAUCCCAUUAAAACAGGAAGGACAUUGCUGUCACCUAAUCAGACAGCCUCAGGACUACCAGCAGAUGGUGCAACAACCUAUUUAAUCCUCAGCAUUAUCAGAAAAUAACCAAGAAUGGCAUCUUUCUUUGCUAAUUAAUUCUGAAUACUCCUAAAAAAUUAUGACUUUAAUGAUAAUAGCAUUUAAAACGAUAACCAUAGAAUCUGUAAUAAUUUUUUAAUAAUUAUACAUAAUAUCUGACUUUUUGAACUAAAAGAGACUUUAGAACUCUCUGGUCCAAGCCUUCUGUUUAACAGCUGAGGAAACUCAAGUUCUUAAGUUUAAACUUCAACCACCAGCUAAGGAGGGUCGUGAUGAGUCUUGGUCAUAUGACAGAACCCAUCGCUCAUUGAUUCAGCAACAUUAUCCCUCAGCAAAUACGAUUUCUAGCCCAAUAAUCAAAAUUUGAUGGGGUGGCGGAUGGCAUUUGAUCAUCCAAGUUAAGAUUUUUCAGCAGAUGUUUAUCUGUGGAGACUCUUCUAUUGUAAGAACAUUCAUAGUUUUAGAAAAGAGGCAUUUUCUGGGAGAACAUGCUCUCCUGUCCUCUCUGUUUCCAGCUGCAAACUAACGUGUCAUUUUGCCAAAUGCUUCCUGUCUAGCUUCUGGCUAUUUCUGAGAGAGAGAGAGAAGGUGGGGGCAGGGGGAGAAAGAGAGAGAGAGAGAGAGAUUUUUUUUUACACAUUUGCUUUGUACUAGGAAAAUAUUUCUUAUACAGUCAACAAUAGCAUAUUAAUGGGGAUGAUUUAAGGAGCCCAAGCUUCUAUUCUGUUGCCAGAAUGCCAACGGGAAUGUAUGCUACUUUUCAAAAAAUAGGUGUUGACAAUAGCCUGCAGUAUUGCACUGUAGUCAAAGAAGAGUGCUGAAAGCUUCAGUUCAUAAAAAUGCUUGAUUCAUCAAAAAUAAUCACCUCACCUGAUAAUUGAAAGCUACAGAGAAUUAUUAUGCAGCCGUGGACUCUCAAAAAUUUAUUCAUUUUUGGUAAUUAACAUUAUUUCUUCUUGAUGAUGUUGCUAAAUGGCUUGAACCCAGUCUGAAGAACCAUGCAUGAUCAUUUAUGCUGAAAAGAAAAGAAAUUAGAAGCUUUUGUUGCACAGAAUGGUGGAUAAAGAUUGCGAAUUUGCACAGCUAUAAAGCUUACUAAUUAAAGACUACAAACACAAAGAGAGCAAGCCUUGUGAUGACUGCACAAUAACGAGGAUUCAGAUACAACGUGGUCGCCACCUGACGCCCACCUCCACAAAAAGCCAUUCUCAAAAGGAGAGAGACAUUCAUAUCCAGAAGAGGGAGUCGGCUGUAGGGUAGAGGUAUGAAAUUCUCAGUCAGUUUUUACUUUGUUGGUUCCAGUAUGAUUUUCAUUAUCCUUACUUUUGUGUUUUUUAUGGCAAUGUAAACAUACAAACUAGUGGGAAACAAUGCGGUCUUUUAUUAAUUUGCAGUAACCCACAUUGUAAGCAAUGCAAUGAUUCAGACCUUAGUUAUCAAGAGGUUUUAUUAUAGAACCACUAGUAACUCAUAGACUCUUCCUGUUAUGUGAAAUAAAUGAAGACCAGCCAACUAAGAAAGGCAAAGGCUAUGUAUUCUGAGCUCAUCUGGAUCAGAGGAGUCAGCACUGUCAUUUGUGUUUGGCAGAGACUGAAAGAUGUUCGUCUGAAGAUUUCAAAGCCCACUGCUGAUUUAAGGUCAUUCACAUUCAGCCAUGAAGCUGCUCUGAAGACACAGGAACUGCAUAGCUCCCUACUGGGAAUGUCAAGGGCUGUGAAAGGUCUAAGGUUUUAUCCUACUUGCAACCAACAAGCUAUGCAGCCACAGUUUUAUGGAUGCUGUCAAAAGACAUGACACUCCUGGGUAAGAGACGAAAGACUUUACCACUUGUGGUGUAGUAGCCAGCUGGAGCAUCUUGUGUUUUGAGUUAGUGCCAGUUGUCCCCUAAGUCCCACAGGUAAGGAUGCAAGUUUUCCCAGAUGGAGGCAGGGAAGCAUGCAGGCAUGGGGUGGUGAUGCAGGAACGGAGCUCUGAACUUAGAGAACCCAGAGCUUUAAUAAUGGGUGGAAAGUGUAUCAUUCACCUGCUCUAGAAAAAGACAUGGAGGGAGUCUCCUUCAUAAAAGGACGUUUCAUAGUGGUUGCUAUUCAAAUAUCCUUGGAAAGAUGGGCUGAGACACAGGGUGGCCAGUGCCUCUGCUCACAAGGUGUACCCAAAUCCAGAAGCCCAUGAAAAAUUAUCUUCCAAAACAAUGAUGAAUUUUCCCAUGAGCAUACCACUCCACUGGCCACUAUGAUUAAUCUGGUCAAUUAUUCCCCCUCUAGCAUGCAGUUUAGGCUGCUAACAACAGCAUGAGGGCAACCUGCUGUGGUGACCUAAGCUAUGACACCCCACCCCAAGUCCGGGAUGCAGCUAACUGAGCAAACUGCAUGAACUGGGAGGCGGCCGACCAUUGUUCACGCCUCUCCUUCGCGUAUGUGUUUUCUACUGUUCUUGCACUGUAAAGGCAGAGGUUGCAUCGGGCCCUUAUGCAAAGCCCCAAAUAAUUACUGGCUGACUCUUCUCAGGGAACAUUUGCUAACCCUGUCACAAGCCAUAAGGUUCCACCACAGAUUGCCCUGUGGCUCUCUCGUUACGUUUCUGUGUGGACGUUUCCACAUGGUCUGAGGCAUUCAUCCAAGAAGAGCAGGAUGUAUUAGUGACUGCACAGAUUCUGCCUUGGCCCACAAAGAGGACAUCCAGGGCAGUCCUGGUCAUCUGUAAUAACAUUGCCCAGUGAGUUGAGGCUGACCUGAGUACUGACUUGGGUUGAGUUGGUGUCACUGAUCACUUCAGCCAAAGAUGGGACAUUUCUUAGCACCUGUUCUGAUUGGCUGACUUCUAUGGUCAGGAUAACGGCUCUCAGGAUGCGUAUAACUGCCAAGUCUCUCCGGGAAGCUUCCCUGGGUUACCAAGGAAUCCUCAUGUCUGAGAGAGCUCCACCAUCAUCCAAGGGCCACACGGAGUUUCUUGCAAUGCUUCAAGGUCUCCUGUAAUAACUCCUAUGAUAGAAGUCACUGUGUUUUGGGGAGGUAGACUGCAGCAUGCAGUUUUGACAGCAUGACCAAGGUCAUUGUUCAGGUCUGAUUAUUCAAAUUCAAAAAACUGCAACCUCAGGCAUAAAAGAUUAAGGAUGGAGCCCAAGUCUCUGGGUCCCCAAGGGGGACUGAAGCACAUACUCACCCAUCUGAAUAUGCUGGAGAACAGGAAGGAGAGACUCAAGCUUGUCUGGGUCUGUUGGAUACAGACUCUCCCAUCUCCACCCCAUCAGGUCCUAUGGAGGCCCAAGUUCAGCUGAUGAAGUUAAGGGAGUGCUCAGUGCAGAAGGGUGGGAGGGCACUUGGGGCAUUUUGGGGUCCUGUUUUUGUUGCUUCUGCAUCUGAUACAGCAGGAAUUGAAGUAUUGCACACUUGUCCUUCCCAUUUCCAAGUGCUGCCUUCCCAUCAGUAAGAGCCACAGUUAGAGAGGGACCAACAGGAGGAUAACUCCCACAUGCUUAGCAUUCCAAUAAUGGAACACUAGGCAUAAAUUGAUAAGAUGCUUUCAAUGCAAUCAGUACUCUGCCAGGAUUCACUAAGUAGAGAAUGACUAAAUAUUUACCCAUCUCCUAACAAAAAUGCACAACUGAGGACAGAUGUUUUGCACUUUUAUGUGUCUACGGACUGUGUAAGAGGAUUUGGCUGGGUCAUCAUCUUCUUCUUCUUCUUAGACUGGUUGAUGGUGACCGUUCAUUGAUCCAAUAUGGUAAAGUCAUGUCCUGGUCUGUGUUCUUCGGGGUCCACAACCCUCUUUAACAGCCUGUUGUAAGGUUCUCGACCACGUCACUGUCUAGCUAAACCAUUCUGCAUUUCAGUAGGUAAACCAGCAGGAGGGCUUAAAAACCACAUUGCCCUGUCCACAUCCCUAUUUCUGAUUCUUUUCUGGCCUGCGAUCCUACAUCUCUAUCCUCACUUUAAACUGUUUUCCUCUUUUCUUCUCCUUUUUCCUGACCUCCUUUAUGUUUUUCAUUUCUCCUCCAUCUGAAUAUACCAAACCAUCCUUUUGCUUCCUCUUUUCUCUUCAUUAAUUAUUCUAGGGGCUAUUUUUUUUAUUAGGAAGAUGUAUUAUUUUAACAUGCUUUAUAAAGUUAGUGGCAUUAAGGAAUUAAUGUCCUUGGAAACUCAUACAUGUUCAGCUUCUAGAAACCCCUGAUUCCAAGGAGCAAAAACAUGCCAUCUCUGACAGUGUCCACAAGAACAAUACCAGAUCAGACGAUAAAGCCAACACACAGCAUAGCCAAUGGCCACACAUCCAGAAAACACUCUCAACAAAUUUAACCCUUCAGUAUUCACUGUAGCCAAUAUAUAUUCAAUAUAUAUAGCUGACUUUGUUUUUAUAUUUGAUGAAGUCCUGCUAUUUGAAAUAAAAUAAUCAAACCAACAACAACAACAACAAAAACCCCAUACAUGGUGAUAGCAUAUGUGAGGCAGUAGCAAUUUCUCCAUCUUUUCUGUCCUGUCUUUCCUGUUCUUCGUUCCCAUGCUAAGAAGGGAUGGAUAUAUCUCGGAGAUUACACAGGUUCUAGUCAAAGACUUCAUUGUGAACGUUUGUUUCACAUUUUCCCUGGAUAAGGACUAAUUAAAAGUUUGGAAAAGUAUACCUUUUUUUUUUUUUUUUUUUGCAAACUUACCCAUAUUAUGUGCUUUUUCUUGAUACAGCUGCUAAUCUUUGCUGUAUAUGUAGUGUUAGGAAGUCUACUUUAAUACACACACACACGUUUAAUGAGGUAAAAUAUGCAUAACAUAAUUACCAUUUUAACAAUUUUUAAGUGUAGAGUUCAGGGGCAAGUACGUUCAUGUUCUUGUGCAACUAUCACCACCAUUUUUUCUCCAGAACCCUUUUUAUCAUCUCAAACUGAAACUCUGCACCCACUGAACAAUAACUCCCCGUUCUCUCCUCCUCCUAGACCCUGGUAACCCCUCAUCUAUUUUCUGUCUCUGUGUAUUUGACUAUUCUAGGUACCACAUUAACGUGGACUUACACAGUAUUCGUCCUUUUGUGACUGGCUUAGUUUAUUUAGCAUAAGAUCCCCAAGGUUCAGCCGGGUGCCGUGGCUCAUGCCUGAAAUCCAAGCACUUUGGGAGGCCAAGGUGGGUGGAUCACCUGAGGUCAGGAGAUUGAGACCAGCCUGGCCAACACGGUGAAACCUCAUCUCUACUAAAAUACAAAAAUUAGCUGGGCCUGGUGGCGGGCGCCUGUAAUCCUAGCUACUAGGUAGGCUGAGGCAGGAGAUUAGCUUGAACCUGGGAGGCGGAGGUUGCAGUGAGCAGAGAUGGGACCACUCCACUCCAGCUUGGGCAACAGAGCAAGACCCUGUCUCAAAAAAAAAAAAUUCAAGGUUCAUCCAUGCUGUGGCAUGUGUCAUAAUUUCAUUUCUUCAUAUUCCUGAAAUACAUUUCUAAAUAUAAAUUUUUCAUUACUGUUUUCAUUUCAAGUUAAGUUUAUCAGAUCCUGUAGUCCAGGGACUUCAGUCUCUUUGAAUUAUGUCUUUCUUGGACAAUUUGGGAGCUCUUUUGAGAAACUGAAUACAAUUUGAAUACACUAAAAUCUGAAUCACACCAUAGAUAACGACAUAGUGUCUUAGUGAGAAGAAAUUUGAUUCUGCUGACUAGGAUACUAAAGUUUGACCUUUAUGGUCAUCUCUUAAUAAAAUAAAAGGAGAGCACUGGGCUAUUAAAUAGUUUAUUCAUGGAUCAUAGGGUGAAUAAGACCUAGAUCCUAGAGGAAAUCCUCCCCACAAAGACACUCAGACUUUUAUUCCUGUCAAUGUUCUUGUGGAUUUCAGGGAGCAAUGAUGGCUAUAAAUCUGCAACUCAUAGCAUUUCAGGCUAAACACAUUCAGCCUUUAUUACCAUUGUUCAUUUGACCUCUUUAUCCAAUUUUUUUCCCACCCACUUGCCAAUAUCACCUUGUUCUUAUGUAGGCUGUGUUUCAGCCAGCUUAAGCCUUACUAACAAAUGAGGUGAAAUCCAUCUGAGGAGGAAGCCGGGGCAUGGUGGAUUGAAAUAGCUUGCCUCAGGAGCAGAAAAUUUGGUGUGGAUCAAGAAAUAGAACUCCAAAGUAUACCUUUCCAGUCAUUGGCUUUAGCUGGAGCCAGCAUCCUUCAAUGAAUCAGUCAACAUUUACCUAUCUGUUCCCCACAGCAGUUUUGCAAAUCGCUUUCAGAAAUCAUUGAACCACUAACAGUUUAUCCACUCUGCAAAAUAUACACAGCUCUUCCCAUAUCCAGGAGGGUUAUCCCUUCUCAGCUGCGUUCAACACUUUUUACAACCCCUGAUUUCAAUAAGCAGAAUACAUCCACCUGCUUAGGGAAAUUACUCUUACCAUAUAAUUGCCUCUUAUGUUGAAAUGUCCAUGAGACCCUCUCAUGAAAUAGGGGACAAGAUAAAGCACAGAUUUUCCCCCAACUCAAACAUGCCUGUCUCAUACAUGUCAUGCCCUUGGAAAUGGCCAACACUGCUCUCUGCCUCCUGUUUAGGGUUAAGGCUUUCACUAUCUCUUGCCACCUCUGAUGAAAUUACUAACAAAUAUAUUAUCCUUACCCUUUGUCUUCUAUUCCAGCACUUCAAAUGCAUCAAAGGUCCAGAGAGAAGCUUCUUCUGGUCACCUUGAUCUUGUGAUGCAAGGCAGGUGGGAGCAAGGGCUCCACCUCUGCAGACACAGAGAUGACGGGGUCGCCAUGCCGGCGUUUUAGUCCCGGUUUCCUCUGCUCGAGUAGUUGGUGGCCUCCUGCCUGUUCCCUAACAUAACUUCACUUUCCUUACCUGCAAAACGAAAUUAGUAUUUCCUCCCUCACAAGGUGCUUGAUGCCCUUCCCCUUGCGUUUACUUUGCCUGAGAGACUAUAUCAUAUCUAUGAUUUUGUGAAUGGGGCAAAAGGAAUUGAGAGUGUCAGGGUAUACCUUAUAAAUAAGCCACUAAAGGUUACAUCCUCAUUCCACAAACUGACCUAAACAAUUUGGCUGUCACUAAUAGAUUAUUUUGGUCAGUUAUGGCAUUUAGAGGGAGAAGAGAGAGUAUAUAUAUAUGGGUGGGGUGUGUGUGUAUGCGUGUGUAUGUGUGUGUUUACAGUCAAAAUACCAAAAUAUAUCUAUGUAUAUAAAUAUAUUUGCUUUCUUUGUUUUUGUUACAAUAAACUUGUACAUACAAUUCUGACACACAUAUUUUCAUAUGUAGGCACAAAAAUAGUCAUACAAAAAAUACCACAAAAGGUAAUAACAAAGUGGAAGAAGACAUAGGAACAGAGAACAAACCAACACAUAGAAAAAGUAACAAACAUGGUAGAUACGAAUCCAGCUAUAUCAAUAAUCGCGUUAAACAUCAAUGGUCUUAAAUAUACUAGACAGUGGAAUAUUAUUCAGCAUUGAAAAGAAAUGACCUAUCAAGCCAUGAAAGACAAGGAGGAACCUUAAAUGCAUGUUACUGAGUGAAAGAAGCCAAUCUGAAAAGGCUGCAUCCUGCAGGAUUCUGACUCUAUGACAUUCUGGAAAAGGUAAAACUACUAAGACAGUGAAAAGAUCAGUAGCUGCCAGGGGUUACGGGAAGGGGAUGAUGAAUAAGUGGGGCACAGCAUUUUGAGGAGGUGAAACUACUCUGUAGGAUACUGUAACAGUAAAUCCAUGUCAUUAUAUGUUUGUACACACCCAUAGAACACCAGGAGGACAGCACCAAGAGGGAGCCCUAGUGUGAACUGUGGACUCUGGUUGGUAAUGAUGUGCCUGUGAAGCUUCAUUGUUUGCAGCAAAUGCAUCAGUGUGGUGGGGGAUGUUUCUAAAUUGAUAAUGAAGGACGCCAUAGGUGUAUGGGGGCAGAGAGUUUAUGAGAAAUCUGUACCUUUUGCUCAAUUUUACUGAACAUAAAACUGCUGAAGCCAUCAUUCUCAGCAAACUAACCCAGGAGCAGAAAACCAAACGCCGCAUGUUCUCACUCAUAAGUGGGAGUUGAACAAUGAGAACACAUGGACACAGGGAGGGGAACAUCGUCACACACCGGAGCCUGUCGCAGGGUGGGGAGCUGGGGGAGGGAGAGCAUUAAGACAAAUACCUAAUGCAUGUGGGGCUUAAAACCUAGAUGAUAGGUUGAUAGGUGCAGCAAACCACCAUGGCACAUGUAUACCUAUGUAACAAACCUGCACAUUCUGCACAUGUAUCCCAGAACUUAAAGUAAAAUAUAUUAAAAAAAUUAAAGUCUAUUUUAAAAAAAGAAAAACAAUCAGCUAACCUACUUUGGUAGCUCUGUUCUGCGCUGUCGGGUCUUCCAUCCUAGCGUGUGACACAGGAGGGUUUCGCUGGCAGGACCCGCCCACUGCACAUGCAGGUUCAGGUGACAGAGACCUCUGGAAAGAUGAGGCCCGUGGGAGCAGGGGGCUUCUUGUUGACACUGAAGGUCAGGCUUCAGGAAUGCCAGGGGCUCAUAAAAUCUUUUUCACUGAACAUUAUGCUGAGCAGGAUUCAUUUUACCAGUGAAAAAAUAUUUCUGACAUCCUUUGUGCUUUUUAACAAAGCCUGUGGUGUGGAUUUGCAUGAUUCUUAGAUUGCUGAGUAACCACUUCGGGAGGGUUCUUGAUUAGGGCACUAAAAAUGUUAACACAACACCCGUGGGAUGUAGAUUAAGGUCAACUUGUCCUUGUGCGUCUCUCCUAGUGUUGAUGGCAGAGUCUUAGUAUUUCAGCUGACGAAAUCUCUGCCCAUUCUCUUCCAAUGUUCCCUAAUAAGCUACAGGAGGACAGAGACAAAAGUUUGACUUCAUUAGUAACUUUUGGAAGUUGCCCAAUUUAGGAAAAAGAGUUAAUAAAUCAGGAAUUUUAUAAGAACUUUUUGUUAAAUCUGUAGUUAUUCAAAUCAGCCUCAGCAUGAUAAGACAACACUACAGGUUAUUAUAAAUAGUUGAAAAAGAAAAAUUAAAUUCCAACCAAACAAUUGAUCCUUAACUUUUUUUUUUUUUGAGA